GUGUAGGUGGAAGCAGCGGUGGAGGAGGAGGAUGAGGUAGCCAACACCGUUUUUUAUAUAUAUAUAUUUUUUUUAAUUGGGGUAGCCCCCAAAAUAUUGGGACAUAUAAAAAAAGACAACUCUGUUCCGCAGAGUAGCUGUUGACAUUAUAGUUGAGCAGGCACUUUGUUGACUCUAGAGAACCUCGGGCCAAUCGCACAUACCUGUGACGUCGACUUUGCAUUCGGAUGUCAUCCAUAUCAACUGCGCCUACCAUGGUGACCACAGGUAACGGGGAAUCAGGGUUCCAUUCCAUACAGGGACCCUGAGAAACGGCUACCACAUGCAAGGAAGGCA